rnacentral:rRNA from 1 species
UACGUAGGGUGCGAGCGUUGUCCGGAAUUACUGGGCGUAAAGAGCUCGUAGGUGGUUUGUCGCGUUGUUCGUGAAAUCUCACGGCUUAACUGUGAGCGUGCGGGCGAUACGGGCAGACUAGAGUACUGCAGGGGAGACUGGAAUUCCUGGUGUAGCGGUGGAAUGCGCAGAUAUCAGGAGGAACACCGGUGGCGAAGGCGGGUCUCUGGGCAGUAACUGACGCUGAGGAGCGAAAGCGUGGGGAGCGAACAGGAUUAGAUACCCUGGUAGUCCACGCCGUAAACGGUGGGUACUAGGUGUGGGUUUCCUUCCUUGGGAUCCGUGCCGUAGCUAACGCAUUAAGUACCCCGCCUGGGGAGUACGGCCGCAAGGCUAAACUC